rnacentral:rRNA from 1 species
AACGAACGCUGGCGGCACGUUUUAAGCAUGCAAGUCGAAUGGCAGUGGGGGCAACCCCAUGAGAAUGGCGAACGGGUGAGUAACACGUAGGUGAUCUGCCUGACGGAUGGGGAUAGCUUGUGGAAACACAGGGUAAUACCGAAUGAGCUGACGAGACUUUGGUUUUGUUAGUAAAGGUGCUACGGCACCGCCGACAGAGGAGCCUGCGGCUGAUUAGCUAGUUGGUGGGGUAAAGGCCUACCAAGGCGACGAUCAGUAGCCGGCCUGAGAGGGUGUACGGCCACACUGGAACUGAGACACGGUCCAGACUCCUACGGGAGGCAGCAGCUAGAAUCUUCCGCAAUGGGCGAAAGCCUGACGGAGCGAUGCCGCGUGAUCGAUGAAGGUCGAGAGAUUGUAAAGAUCUUUUCUCCAUGAGGAAUAAGGUUGGGAGGGAAUGCCUGACUGGUGACGUUAGUGGAGGAAUAAGCCCCGGCUAAUUACGUGCCAGCCGCCGCAGUAA